GACGAACGCUGGCGGCGUGCCUAAUACAUGCAAGUAGAACGCACAGUUUAUACCGUAGCUUGCUACACCAAAGACUGUGAGUUGCGAACGGGUGAGUAACGCGUAGGUAACCUGCCUGGUAGCGGGGGAUAACUAUUGGAAACGAGAGCUAAUACGGCAUAAUAUUGAUUAUUGCAUGAUAAUUGAUUAAAAGAUGCUAUUGCAUCACUACCAGAUGGACCUGCGUUGUAUUAGCUAGUAGGUGAGGUAUCGGCUCACCUAGGCGACGAUACAUAGCCGACCUGAGAGGGUGAUCGGACACGCUGGAACUGAGACACGACCGAGACUCCUACGGGAGGCAGCCGUACGGGAUCUUCGGCAAUGGACGAAAGUCUGACCGAGGAACGACGCAUGAGUGAAGAAGGUUGUCGGAUCGUAAAGCUCUGUUGUAAGAGAAGAAUGGGUGUGAGAGUGGAAAGUUCACACUGUGACGGUAGCUUACCAGAAAGCGACGGCUAACUACGUG
rnacentral:rRNA from 1 species